CCCAAUUCCAAUGGGUUUAACAUAAUUAAAAACACCUAUUUAUCAGUGUCACCUCUGCCUGCAGAUCUCUGCGUAUUGCAACCACAACAAGCUGCCAGUUAGAGUUAAACUAGCCAGCUCCUGUUCAGACACCACAUGGGAUGUGUCACGCAGAUGUACCAUGAAGUCAAAAAUAUUGUUUGGAUCUUUUUUUCUUCUUUAAAUCUAAACUGGAGAAGAUACUCU